rnacentral:rRNA from 1 species
UACGAAGGGGGCUAGCGUUGUUCGGAUUUACUGGGCGUAAAGCGCACGUAGGCGGAUUGUUAAGUCAGGGGUGAAAUCCUGGAGCUCAACUCCAGAACUGCCUUUGAUACUGGCAAUCUAGAGUCCGGAAGAGGUGAGUGGAACUCCUAGUGUAGAGGUGGAAUUCGUAGAUAUUAGGAAGAACACCAGUGGCGAAGGCGGCUCACUGGUCCGGUACUGACGCUGAGGUGCGAAAGCGUGGGGAGCAAACAGGAUUAGAAACCCUAGUAGUCC